rnacentral:rRNA from 1 species
UGGGGAAUUUUGGACAAUGGGCGAAAGCCUGAUCCAGCAAUGCCGCGUGUGUGAAGAAGGCCUUCGGGUUGUAAAGCACUUUUGUCCGGAAAGAAAUCCUUGGCUCUAAUACAGUCGGGGGAUGACGGUACCGGAAGAAUAAGCACCGGCUAACUACGUGCCAGCAGCCGCGGUAAUACGUAGGGUGCAAGCGUUAAUCGGAAUUACUGGGCGUAAAGCGUGCGCAGGCGGUUUGCUAAGACCGAUGUGAAAUCCCCGGGCUCAACCUGGGAACUGCAUUGGUGACUGGCAGGCUAGAGUAUGGCAGAGGGGGGUAGAAUUCCACGUGUAGCAGUGAAAUGCGUAGAGAUGUGGAGGAAUACCGAUGGCGAAGGCAGCCCCCUGGGCCAAUACUGACGCUCAUGCACGAAAGCGUGGGGAGCAAACAGGAUUAGAUACCCUGGUAGUCCACGCCCUAAACGAUGUCAACUAGUUGUUGGGGAUUCAUUUCCUUAGUAACGUAGCUAACGCGUGAAGUUGACCGCCUGGGGGAGUACGGUCGCAAGAUUAAAACUUAAA